rnacentral:rRNA from 1 species
AUUGAACGCUGGCGGCAGGCCUAACACAUGCAAGUCGAACGGUAACAGGAAACAGCUUGCUGUUUCGCUGACGAGUGGCGGACGGGUGAGUAAUGUCUGGGAAACUGCCUGAUGGAGGGGGAUAACUACUGGAAACGGUAGCUAAUACCGCAUAACGUCGCAAGACCAAAGAGGGGGACCUUCGGGCCUCUUGCCAUCGGAUGUGCCAGAUGGGAUUAGCUAGUGGGUGGGGUAACGGCUCACCUAGGCGACGAUCCCUAGCUGGUCUGAGAGGAUGACCAGCCACACUGGAACUGAGACACGGUCCAGACUCCUACGGGAGGCAGCAGUGGGGAAUAUUGCACAAUGGGCGCAAGCCUGAUGCAGCCAUGCCGCGUGUAUGAAGAAGGCCUUCGGGUUGUAAAGUACUUUCAGCGGGGAGGAAGGGAGUAAAGUUAAUACCUUUACUCAUUGACGUUACCCGCAGAAGAAGCACCGGCUAACUCCGUG